CGCAAAACCCCAACUUUGCUUCAAUUCUUCUUCAAUGGCUUCGGCGCUUCAAAAGCUACUCAGAAAACAAUCACCAUUAACAAGAUUCAUCACUCCCCUUCAAUCCUCACAACCACCGAACCCAUUUAACCCCAUCAUUGAUCUUCAACGAGAAUGUCACCCUUUCACUCCACCCACUUCAACCCCAUCACAACACUUCACCGCUUGGAACGUGGUUUUUCCAAGUUUCCCUUUUGGGUUUGCUCCAAAAUCAAAUUUUGAAAGUGGGUUUUGUCCCCCUGAGGCAGAGGAAGCUGGGUUGGAAGAUUCGAGAAUCUUGUGGGCUGAUAGUGUGAAGAAGAAGCGUAAGAAGAAGAUGAACAAACACAAGUAUCAGAAGCUUAGGAAGCGAAUGAGGAGACAAACUUAGGUUAGGGUUCAAUGGUUUUGUUUUUCAGGGCAUUUAGAAUGCAUUGAACUCAAUCAAUUAGUUUUUAUGAUUUUAAUCUUUAUUUAGAAUGUUUACUUAUUUAUUUAUAAUUUUAACCUUUAUUUAUGUAUGAAAUCCGUGUUGUGCUAGUGAGAUGAAGGUAUCCCUCACAUUAGUUGUUAAGAAACAUUUAUGGGUUGUGUGAUUGUAUUUUCCAACAAUUGUCCAUUAAGUGUUGAAGUGUUUGGUUUAGAACCUUGAAUUUUGGUAUUUAUGGAUCAACACCUUGUUGGUUAGUAAGAUGCAUUUAAGUGUUUGUUUGUGAGUUAAUUUUGGAGGGAAUGAAGAGAAGGAGAUGACUCGAGAGCCAUCUGAUAAAUAUAUUUCAUGGCUCUGAAGACUUUUCAUUCCUUCCAUCGCUCUUCAAACACUAACUUGCAAACAGACCUAUAUUUUUUCCAUUUAUUAGUGUGUAGUGAAAACGGAGGAAGAUGUGUUUUAAA
rnacentral:lncRNA from 1 species